AUUGAACGCUGGCGGCAUGCCUAACACAUGCAAGUCGAGCGGAGCGGCGGACGGGUGAGUAAUGCCUAGGAAUCUGCCUGGUAGCGGGGGAUAACGUCCUGAAACGGGCGCUAAUACCGCAUACUAUCAGAUGAGCCUAUGUCGGAUUAGCUAGUUGGUGGGGUAAAGGCCUACCAAGGCGACGAUCCGUACCUGGUCUGAGAGGAUGAUCAGGCACACUGGAACUGAGACACGGUCCAGACGCCUACGGGAGGGAGCAGUGGGGAAUAUUGGACAAUGGGGGAAAGCCUGAUCCAGCCAUGCCGCGUGUGUGAAGAAGGUCUUCGGAUUGUAAAGCACUUUAAGGUGGGAGGCGUUACCAGCAGAAUAAGCACCGGCUAACUUCGUGCCAGCAGCCGCGGUAAUUC
rnacentral:rRNA from 1 species